ACGGGAGGCAGCAGUAGGGAAUCUUCCACAAUGGACGAAAGUCUGAUGGAGCAACGCCGCGUGAGGAAGAAGGUUUUCGGAUCGUAAAACUCUGUUGUUGAGAAGAAUGUAUCUGAUAGUAACUGAUCAGGUAGUGACGGUAUCCAACCAGAAAGCCACGGCUAACUACGUGCCAGCAGCCGCGGUAAUACGUAGGUGGCAAGCGUUGUCCGGAUUUAUUGGGCGUAAAGCGAGCGCAGGCGGUUUCUUAAGUCUGAUGUGAAAGCCUUCGGCUCAACCGAAGAAGUGCAUCGGAAACUGGGAAACUUGAGUGCAGAAGAGGACAGUGGAACUCCAUGUGUAGCGGUGAAAUGCGUAGAUAUAUGGAAGAACACCAGUGGCGAAGGCGGCUGUCUGGUCUGUAACUGACGCUGAGGCUCGAAAGCAUGGGUAGCAAACAGGAUUAGAUACCCUGGUAGUCCAUGCCGUAAACGAUGAGUGCUAGGUGUUGGAGGGUUUCCGCCCUUCAGUGCCGCAGCUAACGCAUUAAGCACUCCGCCUGGGGAGUACGACCGCAAGGUUGAAACUCAAAGGAAUUGACGGGGGCCCGCACAAGCGGUGGAGCAUGUGGUUUAAUUCGAAGCAACGCGAAGAACCUUACCAGGUCUUGACAUCCUUUGACCACUCUAGAGAUAGAGCUUUCCCUUCGGGGACAAAGUGACAGGUGGUGCAUGGUUGUCGUCAGCUCGUGUCGUGAGAUGUUGGGUUAAGUCCCGCAACGAGCGCAACCCUUAUUACUAGUUGCCAGCAUUUAGUUGGGCACUCUAGUGAGACUGCCGGUGACAAACCGGAGGAAGGUGGGGACGACGUCAAAUCAUCAUGCCCCUUAUGACCUGGGCUACACACGUGCUACAAUGGAUGGUACAACGAGUUGCGAGACCGCGAGGUUUAGCUAAUCUCUUAAAACCAUUCUCAGUUCGGAUUGUAGGCUGCAACUCGCCUACAUGAAGCCGGAAUCGCUAGUAAUCGCGGAUCAGCAUGCCGCGGUGAAUACGUUCCCGGGCCUUGUACACACCGCCCGUCACACCAUGAGAGUUUGUAACACCCAAAGCCGGUGAGGUAACCCUUCGGGGAGCCAGCCGUCUAAG
rnacentral:rRNA from 1 species